ACGAAGGGGGCUAGCGUUGUUCGGAAUUACUGGGCGUAAAGCGCACGUAGGCGGAUUUGUAAGUCAGGGGUGAAAUCCCGGGGCUCAACCUCGGAACUGCCUUUGAUACUGCAAGUCUCGAGCCCGGAAGAGGUGAGUGGAAUUCCGAGUGUAGAGGUGAAAUUCGUAGAUAUUCGGAAGAACACCAGUGGCGAAGGCGACUCGCUGGACAGGUAUUGACGCUGAGGUGCGAAAGCGUGGGGAGCAAACAGGA
rnacentral:rRNA from 1 species